rnacentral:rRNA from 1 species
CAGUAGCCGCGGUAAUACAGAGGGUGCGAGCGUUAAUCGGAUUUACUGGGCGUAAAGCGUGCGUAGGCGGCUUCUUAAGUCGGAUGUGAAAUCCUGAGCUUAACUUAGGAAUUGCAUUCGAUACUGGGAAGCUAGAGUAUGGGAGAGGAUGGUAGAAUUCCAGGUGUAGCGGUGAAAUGCGUAGAGAUCUGGAGGAAUACCGAUGGCGAAGGCAGCCAUCUGGCCUAAUACUGACGCUGAGGUACGAAAGCAUGGGGAGCAAACAGGAUUAGAUACCCCAGUAGUCCCUGUCUCUUAUACA